ACGAACGCUGGCGGCAGGCUUCACACAUGCAAGUCGAGCGCAUCCUUCGGGGUGAGCGGCAGACGGGUGAGUCACGCGUGGGAAUCUACCUUUUGCUACGGAAUAGCUCCGGGAAACUGGAAUUAAUACCGUAUGUGCCCUUAGGGGGAAAGAUUUAUCGGCAAGAGAUGAGCCCGCGUUGGAUUAGCUAGUUGGUGGGGUAAAGGCCUACCAAGGCGACGAUCCAUAGCUGGUCUGAGAGGAUGAUCAGCCACAUUGGGACUGAGACACGGCCCAAACUCCUACGGGAGGCAGCAGUGGGGAAUAUUGGACAAUGGGCGCAAGCCUGAUCCAGCCAUGCCGCGUGAGUGAUGAAGGCCUUAGGGUUGUAAAGCUCUUUCACCGGAGAAGAUAAUGACGGUAUCCGGAGAAGAAGCCCCGGCUAACUUCGUG
rnacentral:rRNA from 1 species